UACGGAGGGUGCAAGCGUUGUCCGGAAUCACUGGGCGUAAAGGGCGCGUAGGCGGCUCAUGAAGGCUGUGGUGAAAGUCCGGGGCUCAACCUCGGAUCGGCCGUGGCGACUCGUGGGCUGGAGCACUGUAGAGGCGGGUGGAAUUCCGGGUGUAGCGGUGGAAUGCGUAGAGAUCCGGAAGAACACCAGUGGCGAAGGCGGCCCGCUGGGCAGUGGCUGACGCUGAGGCGCGACAGCGGGUGGGACAGCAA
rnacentral:rRNA from 1 species